GUUUUUCAAGUUUUUUAUUGUUAUAGGGUUAGAGUUGUGAUCAUGAACUGUGUAUGCACUGUUCUCCUCUCAUGAAGGACUAAACUGUGUUAGUAAUGUGAUUGAUAUAGUUCGUGAUGUUGUUUGAUGUGUCACUCAGACUUAUUGUUUGUUUGUCUUUUUAAUUUUUUAUUUGUACUGUUGAGAUUACAUAAAUUAUAUUAAGGUUGUUGAGAGUACUUUUUGUUUCUGAAUAUUUUUUUUCCAGUUUAGUUGUGUAAGUUGUGUGUAUUAAGUAAUAAUAUUUUUUAUUCUUAUUAUGUUGGUUAUAUGUUUUUUUUUAAAACUUGUUGCUUUUACCAGACCUUUAAAACAAAUACAUGAAGACUUGUAGAAAUAACUAUAAAAUG
rnacentral:lncRNA from 1 species